GAUGAACGCUAGCGACAGGCCUAACACAUGCAAGUCGAGGGGCAGCACAUGAGUAGCAAUACGAUGGUGGCGACCGGCGCACGGGUGAGUAACACGUAUGCAACCUGCCUGUAAGAGGGGAAUAACCCGGAGAAAUUCGGACUAAUACCGCAUAAUACCACGAGACUGCAUGGUUUUGUGGUUAAACAUUUAUGGCUUACAGAUGGGCAUGCGUAUGAUUAGAUAGUUGGUAGGGUAACGGCCUACCAAGUCUACGAUCAUUAGGGGUUCUGAGAGGAAGGUCCCCCACACUGGUACUGAGACACGGACCAGACUCCUACGGGAGGCAGCAGUGAGGAAUAUUGGUCAAUGGGCGAGAGCCUGAACCAGCCAAGUCGCGUGAAGGAAGAGGGUUCUAUGGAUUGUAAACUUCUUUUGCAGGGGAAUAAAGGACGGUACGUGUACUGUUUUGUAUGUACCUUGCGAAUAAGGAUCGGCUAACUCCGUGCCAGCAGCCGC
rnacentral:rRNA from 1 species